rnacentral:rRNA from 1 species
GUAGGGAAUCUUCCACAAUGGACGAAAGUCUGAUGGAGCAACGCCGCGUGAGGGAUGAAGGCCUUCGGGUUGUAAACCUCUUUUCUCAGGGAAGAAUAAUGACGGUACCUGAGGAAUAAGCUUCGGCUAACUACGUGCCAGCAGCCGCGGUAAUACGUAGGAAGCGAGCGUUAUCCGAAUUUACUGGGCGUAAAGUGGGCGUAGGCGGCCUUUCAAGUUGGAUGUGAAAUCUCCUGGCUUAACUGGGAGGGGUCAUCCAAUACUGGUAGGCUGGAGGGCAGCAGGAGAAAGCGGAAUUCCCGGUGUAGUGGUGAAAUGCGUAGAUAUCGGGAGGAACACCAGUGGCGAAGGCGGCUUUCUAGGCUGUUUCUGACGCUGAGGCCCUAAAGUGUGGGGAGCGAACAGGAUUAGAAACCCUUGUAGUCC